rnacentral:rRNA from 1 species
AUGAACGCUGGCGGCGUGCUUAAUACAUGCAAGUCGAACGGAAACAGUAGCAAUAUUGUUUUAGUGGCGAACGGGUGAGUAACGCGUUGGUGACCUGCCCCGAAGAGAGGGAUAACAGUUCGAAAGGAUUGCUAAUACCUCAUGUGGUCAUAUGGUUUAGAAGCUUAUGACUAAACGGAUUUAUUCGCUUCGGGAGGGGCCUGCGUCCCAUCAGCUAGUUGGUAAGGUAAUGGCCUACCAAGGCGAUGACGGGUAGGGGACCUGAGAGGGUGGCCCCCCACAAUGGAACUGAAACACGGUCCAUACACCUACGGGUGGCAGCAGUAGGGAAUAUUGGACAAUGGGCGAAAGCCUGAUCCAGCAACGCCGCGUGCGCGAUGACGGCCUUCGGGUUGUAAAGCGCUUUUAGAGGAGAUGAGAAAGGACAGUAUCCUCUGAAUAAGCCUCGGCGAACUACGU